UACGAAGGGGGCUAGCGUUGCUCGGAAUUACUGGGCGUAAAGGGCGCGUAGGCGGCACUGUUAGUCAGGCGUGAAAUUCCUGGGCUCAACCUGGGGACUGCGCUUGAUACGUGCGGACUUGAGUGCGGAAGAGGGUCGUGGAAUUCCCAGUGUAGAGGUGAAAUUCGUAGAUAUUGGGAAGAACACCGGUGGCGAAGGCGGCGACCUGGUCCGAUACUGACGCUGAGGCGCGAAAGCGUGGGGAGCAAACAGG
rnacentral:rRNA from 1 species